rnacentral:lncRNA from 1 species
CUUAUGAUUUGAACUUAUCCAGGAAUUCGACGAAUUGAGAAACGCAAAGCCGCUCUGAGACUGUCUUCUGAUUCUCAAACUCCUGAGGGUGGAACCACUGGGAAUGAUAUGGUGCAUGAAUGUGUAUUUUGAUUUGUAUGAUUUGUUAUCCCUCCAAAUAUCUAGUAAUCAUGGACAUUGGUAUACACUUGCAAAGAGAUGUUAUGACUAGUGACUCUUAAUAUAUGAUAACUUAAAAAUUGACCGAUGCAAUUCAUGCUUGAGGUGGGACAAAGCUCUUUGAGAUGAGCAACUGGAGCACCAAUAAAAAUGUUAUUGGCAGAAGAAAUGUCAAAAGAAAUUGAAGUUAAAAGACCAUAACCAAGUGUUAUUGCCAGAUUGAUGGGUCACGACGGGCUGCCAUCUCCACAACAUGUUCAUAGACAACAAAGGAGUUCUUCAGAUAUCUACUAGAAACAACCUCAAGCACGACACUACUUAGUUAGUUGUAUUAUUUAUUUAUUUUAUUUUUUUU